rnacentral:rRNA from 1 species
CCCUUAGAUGUUCUGGGCCGCACGCGCGCUACACUGAUGCAUUCAACGAGUUUCUUCCUGGUCCGAGAGGAAUGGGUAACCUUUUGAAAGUGCAUCGUGAUAGGGAUAGACUAUUGCAAUUAUUGGUCUUCAACGAGGAAUUCCUAGUAGACGUAGUUCAUCAGACUGCAUCGAUUACGUCCCUGCCCUUUGUACACACCGCCCGUCGCUCCUACCGAUUGAAUGCUCAGGUGAGCCAUUCGUACUUUCAUCAUGCUGGUUUCCAGUUUUGAUGAAGGAAAGUCUUGCGAACCUUAUCAUUUAGAGGAAGGAGAAGUCGUAACA